GGCCUCGUGUCGGUCCGGGUGGGCCGCCCCGCCUGCAAAGCGGGUGAUCGACCGGUUCGAGUCCGGACGAGGUCUCCA
rnacentral:tRNA from 1 species